GGCCAUGUAGUUCAGUGAAUAGAACGUCAGAUUCCGGUUCUGAAAGUCGUGGGUUUGAGUCCCUCCAUGGUCA
rnacentral:tRNA from 1 species